rnacentral:rRNA from 1 species
AUACGGAGGGUGCAAGCGUUAUUCGGAAUCACUGGGCGUAAAGGACGCGUAGGCGGGUUGGCAAGUCAGAUGUGAGAUCCUACAGCUUAACUGUAGAACUGCAUUUGAAACUGCUAACCUAGAGUAUGGGAGGGGGAGAUGGAAUUAGUGGUGUAGGGGUAAAAUCCGUAGAUAUCACUAGGAAUACCGAAAGCGAAGGCGAUCUCCUGGAACAUAACUGACGCUAAGGCGUGAAAGCGUGGGGAGCAAACAGGAUUAGAAACCCUAGUAGUCC